GACAGAGGGUGCAACCGUUGUUCGGAAUUACUGGGCGUAAAGCGUGUGUAGGCGGCUUGGCAAGUCGGAUGUGAAAGCCCCGGGCUCAACCCGGGAAGUGCACUCGAUACUGCGAAGCUUGAGUGUGGGAGAGGUAAGCGGAAUUCCUGGUGUAGCGGUGAAAUGCGUAGAUAUCAGGAGGAACACCUGUGGUGUAGACAGCUUACUGGACCAUUUCUGACGCUGAGACACGAAAGCGUGGGUAGCAAACAGG
rnacentral:rRNA from 1 species